rnacentral:misc_RNA from 1 species
UGUAAAUCUUUUGAUAUUACUUCCCUUCAUGGCAUUUUACAAAAUGUUUGGGAGCAAGUUUUUGGAGGUAAAGUGAGAGUUUUUUUUUUUUAAGUAAUAUGUUAUGCACUGCAGAAGCGUAUAAACUAUAAAAAAAUUAAGUAAGCACACAAAAUAUCAAUAUUUACGGGGUUUACCCUCUCCACAUAGGGCUAUAUUUAUAGGCAUGCCAUCAUCAAUAAUAAAAUUAUCAUUACAAGCUCAAACUAUGCUACCCAUCAAUACAAUUGCAUCUAAGAGAACCCACAUUAUAUAAUUACUCAUAGUAAAUACGUUAGUUAGUCAUCUCAGUCUCCUCUAGACCUAAUCUAAUAUAUUUACUACUAAAACUACACCUCAAAUGAUGUCUUCAACUAUGAUGGACAAUAAUCCCUUUCUUAUGGAUUAUCACCAUUCUCCACCUUAGGCCGAAAACUCUUUCCCUUCAUAAAACUGCAAUAGACAAGAACCCCUCAUCAAUGGGCAAAACUAAAUCUUCAGAAUUGGCAAGACCACACUCUGCAAUGGGCGAAAGCCCCCUCUCCAUGGGCAAAGUUACUCUACAUGGGCAAAACCCCUGUCCAUGGGUAAAGCUAAAUAACCUUUUCAUCAUUCUCCUAUUUAUAG